GGAGAGAUAUACCGUAAGUGGUAGCGGGGCAGACUGUAAAUCUGUUGCUUUAAUGCUCGGAGUGUUCGACUCACUCUCUCUCCACCA
rnacentral:tRNA from 1 species